rnacentral:rRNA from 1 species
GACGUAGGAGGCGAGCGUUGUCCGGAAUCACUGGGCGUAAAGGGCGCGCGGGCGGCCGCGCCGGCCAUCCGUGAAAGCCCCCGGCUCAACCGGGCGGGAGCGGGUGGGACCGCGCGGCUGGAGGGCGGCAGAGGCCGGUGGAAUUCCCGGAGGAGCAGUGAAAUGCGUAGAGACCGGGAGGAACACCCGCGGCGAAGGCGGCCGGCUGGGCCGACCCUGACGCUGAGGCGCGAAGGCCGGGGGAGCGAACGGG